rnacentral:rRNA from 1 species
UACGUAGGGGGCUAGCGUUGUCCGGAAUCAUUGGGCGUAAAGCGCGUGUAGGCGGCCCGAUAAGUCCGCUGUGAAAGUCCAGGGCUCAACCCUGGGAUGCCGGUGGAUACUGUCGGGCUCGAGUCCGGAAGAGGCGAGUGGAAUUCCUGGUGUAGCGGUGAAAUGCGCAGAUAUCAGGAGGAACACCUAUUGCGAAGGCAGCUCGCUGGGACGUAACUGACGCUGAGACGCGAAAGCGUGGGGAGCAAACAGG